UGUGACGGUUUAAGUUGUUUUUAUAAAGAUAAUUGUAUUUGUUGUAUGUUAAUUAAACUAAAAUAUGCAAUUUUUUAUUUUCUCUGGGUUUAUCAUUAAAGGGUUUUUGUUUCCAAAAAAAUAUUUUUAUGGAAAUUGCUUUGUUUAUUGUUAUUUUUGUCAUAAAUUAAAAAUGUACUUCUUCAUUUCAUUAUAUUCUGGAAAACAAGAAACAAUGCAUGUGCAGCAUGGGUUGGUCUUUGUUGAGUAAAGUGGAUUCUCUGAUUUUCUCGUCUUUCCACAGGUGGACCAGGAAAGUUUGAGUGUUCCGGUUGUGGAAAGUGUUACCGGUGGGCUUCCGGUUUGUCCAGACACCGCCUGACUGGUUGUGGCAAGGAACACGGUUGUCCCCACUGCUCUUACCGGGCUACCAAGAAGAAUAGCAUUAUAAUCCAUAUAAUGACAAAUCACCCUCAAUUCAUCGCCCAGUGAUGUAAUGGUUCUGUUUCUGAUUAUUUAAGCGGUUUUGAAAAAACAUUAUUUUUAAUAAUAUUGUGUUUUUGAUGUUGGGUGAACAUUUGUAUGCAUAUUUUACUUUUAUGUGUAUGAAUUUAGUGAUGUAUAAUUUAAAAUCUAAAGAUCUAUAAUAAGCAAUCAAAAUUUCUAAAUUGUAUACAAUACUGUUUGUCAGUCUGCCACUAGUAAAAUUUUUAAUUUUUAAAAAUUAAAUGCUCUUACUAUUCAAAAUUAAUUUAAAAAUAAUUUAGAUACUGUAUAGUGUAGUAUAUUUUAAAUACACUUCUGCUUUGCUUUGUUAAUCAAUAUACAUUGUGUUCCGAGUAAUACAUUUUCUACAAGCUUUUAAUAUAAAAUUGAGUUUAAGUUUUAUAACAUAACUGUAUAAGAUACAAUUAUUAACAUCAUCAUACUAUAUUUAUUGGUCAGCAUUUAACUGAAUGAAUGUUGUUGAUUGAAUGAUCACAAAGCUCAAUUGAGAAUGGUUUGUUUUCUUAAGUAGGAUAAGCAAAACUUGUGAGUUUUUGUAGGUCCUUUUCAGUUUAAUAAGAAAUAGUUAAAAGCAAAAGAUCUGAUUAUAUAUAAAAUAAUAAUAGAAGUUGUUUGUAUUCAUACACAAUAGUUUUACAACUGAAUUAAUGUGUAAAUGUACAGUAUUUGUAGUAUGUACAGAGAAGAAGUUUGCAGGAUCUCAGAGAGAGUACCCACGUGUGCAACACAUGCGGCCGCCGCUACCGCUGGGCCUCCGGUCUCUCUCGACACAAGAGUUUUGAGUGUAACAAAGAGCCCACAUUCUCUUGCCCUCAUUGCCCCUACAGGGCCAAACAGAAGGGAAGCAUCUUGCAGCACAUCAUCCGCAAACACUACAAACAUGGCAACGACGUUGUGACCCCUCAACAGACGAGAGAGGGUGGCAACAAGACGUUCUCCAACAUAUUCACUGUGUGAGCCCGUUCAUGUGCCUAGAAUAUUCUUCGGGUAUUCCUCUUAUCAAAUAAUUUCAUCAUAUGGAGUUACUUUAUCACAACGAAUAUUCACCACAUAUUUAAGGGAUAUUCUUUAUGCAAAAUAUUUUACCUUAUAAGAAAUAUUUUUAUGUUGUACCCAAUAUCUUAAAUUCCCCACAUUGAAUACUCUUUAAAUAUUUAUUGAAUAUUCUUCAAAUAUUCUUAGAAACUACUAUGACUGCUCUCUUGGAUAUCUUAAUUCCCUAAAAUAACAUUUAGUAAUUUUUAAUUAAAAACAGUUUUUUUAGGGAUAUCUUUAUCUGUCUAUAGAAUUAAAAAGUUAUUAGCCCAACUGCUUACAAGAAGCAAUAUUUUAAGAUUACUGAAAAAACAAUAACAAAAUAAGUAAAUACCUCUAUUUUUAUAUUAUAACCUUGUAUUUAAAAUGUAUUAUAUUUUGAUUUCUACCUCUUGCUUAACACGUGGACUAGCACAACCGCACUAGUGCGCUUGCUGUCUCAUUAGACUACUUAUCAUCACUCCAUGUAGAGCCGCCGUGAAGGUGUUAACAUGUAGUUAGAUCUAUGAGUAUAUACUAUCAUGUUUGUAAGGUUGAAACUGUUGUACAGAUGUUUAAUAUAGUCGAUCAAGUAAUAACCUUUGUUCCUAAAAUGAUAUUAACAUCACACAUGCCCAUCCAUGACAAACACGAUAAUGUUUGAGGUAUCUGCUAGUAGAAACAUAUUGACUGAUUAAUAUUUUGCUAAUUCUGUUCACAUUUAAUUAAAACAUCAGAUAAUUUUUGUACUUUUAAUUACACAUCCAGUAUACUGUGUUCUUUAUUAUAUUAAGCAUAUACAAUUCAUAUUAAUCUUUUGAUAUAACAUACAGUAUUCAAUUUUAUUUAGAAAAUUAGUAUUUAUAAUUCUUAAAAAUGACUGAACUAAAAAAAUUGUGUUAUUUUCUUAAAUUGAGUAGUUUUAUUAUUUUUAGCAAUUAAUUCUAAUUAAUAUUUGUAUUUUCAGUUGAUUUCAAACAGCAUUUAUUUUAAGGUUUUUAUUUUAUACACAUAUUUAAGUUGUAUAAUAAUUUAUUUGGUUUACUGCUAAGUUUGUCAUUGGUUGUUAGUAAUGUUAUAAUGUUAAUAUACUUGUAUUACUUACUUUACAAAAGUUGUAAUUAUAAUGUAUGAACAAAUUAGUAUUGCAUGGUGGGGUUUGGGAACUAAUUAGUGAUAUUGUUAUAUUGGGCACAUAAUAUAAGUAUGUAUUUUUUAACUGUAAAAAUAACUAAAAGUAAGUUACAGUAUUAGCAAUAAUUUAAUUGUAUUUGAUGUUUGGAUAGCUUUGACUUAAAGUAGUUGUACAGUAUUAAUAUGUUUGAUAAUAAAUAUUUUAUUCAUU
rnacentral:lncRNA from 1 species